AAUAGGGCCCAUACCCUAAAAGCAACAGAUCCUAUCUGAUCUUGGAAGCUAAGCACAAUCAGCCUUUGUUAGUACUUGGAUGGGAAACCGCCAUUGAACACCAGGCUGAAUUU
rnacentral:rRNA from 1 species